GAUGAACGCUGGCGGCGUGCCUAAUACAUGCAAGUCGAGCGAACAGACGAGGAGCUUGCUCCUCUGACGUUAGCGGCGGACGGGUGAGUAACACGUGGAUAACCUACCUAUAAGACUGGGAUAACUUCGGGAAACCGGAGCUAAUACCGGAUAAUAUAUUGAACCGCAUGGUUCAAUAGUGAAAGACGGUUUUGCUGUCACUUAUAGAUGGAUCCGCGCCGCAUUAGCUAGUUGGUAAGGUAACGGCUUACCAAAGCGACGAUGCGUAGCCGACCUGAGAGGGUGAUCGGCCACACUGGAACUGAGACACGGUCCAGACUCCUACGGGAGGCAGCAGUAGGGAAUCUUCCGCAAUGGGCGAAAGCCUGACGGAGCAACGCCGCGUGAGUGAUGAAGGUCUUCGGAUCGUAAAACUCUGUUAUUAGGGAAGAACAAAUGUGUAAGUAACUAUGCACGUCUUGACGGUACCUAAUCAGAAAGCCACGGCUAACUACGUG
rnacentral:rRNA from 1 species